UGAGGAAUAUUGGUCAAUGGGAGGAAUCCUGAACCAGCCAUGCCGCGUGCAGGAUGACGGCUCUAUGAGUUGUAAACUGCUUUUAUACGAGGGUAAUAAUUGGUACGUGUACCAAGAUGAAAGUAUCGUAUGAAUAAGGAUCGGCUAACUCCGUGCCAGCAGCCGCGGUAAUACGGAGGAUCCGAGCGUUAUCCGGAUUUAUUGGGUUUAAAGGGUGCGUAGGCGGUUUUGUAAGUUAGAGGUGAAAGUUCGGGGCUCAACUCCGAAAGUGCCUCUGAUACUGCAUGACUAGAUAUUAGAUGCAGAGGGCGGAAUGUGUAGUGUAGCGGUGAAAUGCUUAGAUAUUACACAGAACACCGAUUGCGAAGGCAGCUCUCUAAGCUAAUUAUGACGCUGAUGCACGAAAGCGUGGGGAUCAAACA
rnacentral:rRNA from 1 species